GUGCACUUAAUUAGGUAUCUCUACCAGACUAGGCAUUGAUACUCAGUAAAUGUGCGCAAAGAAAUGAAGAUGUGCUCAAAGGGAUUUGCACUAAUGCGAAUCCAUACGGUACAAUUUCCACA
rnacentral:snoRNA from 1 species